ensembl:rRNA 5S_rRNA 5S ribosomal RNA
CCUAAAAGCUCCAUAUUAAUACCUCAGGUACAAGACCGGUUACUCACUAAAGCUAAGCAGGGCUGAGCCUGGUCAGUACCUGGAUGGGAGACCACUAGGGAACACUAGGUUGCUGUUGGAA